rnacentral:rRNA from 1 species
GAUGAACGCUGGCGGCGUGCCUAAUACAUGCAAGUCGAGCGAACAGACGAGGAGCUUGCUCCUCUGACGUUAGCGGCGGACGGGUGAGUAACACGUGGAUAACCUACCUAUAAGACUGGGAUAACUUCGGGAAACCGGAGCUAAUACCGGAUAAUAUAUUGAACCGCAUGGUUCAAUAGUGAAAGACGGUUUUGCUGUCACUUAUAGAUGGAUCCGCGCCGCAUUAGCUAGUUGGUAAGGUAACGGCUUACCAAGGCAACGAUGCGUAGCCGACCUGAGAGGGGGAGCGCCCACGGUGAAAUGGAGACGGGGCACAGACCCCUAGGGGGGGCAGGGGUGGGAAAUUUCCCGAAGUGGGCAAAAGCGUGAGGGGGCAGCGGCGGGGGGGUGAGGAGGGUUUGGGGUGGGUAAAACUCUGUUAUAGGGAAGAACAAAUGUGUAAGUAACUAUGCACGUCUUGACGGUACCUAAUCAGAAAGCCACGGCUAACUACGUG